ensembl:snRNA U6 U6 spliceosomal RNA
GUUCUCUCUUCUGUAGCACAUGUGCUAAAUUUGGAAAAAUAUGGAGAAGAUUAGAAGAGGAAGGAUGACAUGUCAAUUCACAAAGGAUAUCAUAUAUUU